GGAUGCCUCAGUACGGCGAGUGAAGCGGCAAUAGCUCAAAUUUGAAAGCUGGCGUCUUCGGCGAAUGCGUUGUAAUUUGUAGAGGAUGCUUCGGCAAGGGCUCCCGCCUAAGUCCCCUGGAACGGGGCGUCACAGAGGGUGAGAAUCCCGUACGUGGCGGGCGGCCCGAGCCAUGUGAAGCUCCUUCGACGAGUCGAGUUGUUUGGGAAUGCAGCUCUAAAUGGGAGGUAAAUUUCUUCUAAAGCUAAAUACUGGCCAGAGACCGAUAGCGCACAAGUAGAGUGAUCGAAAGAUGAAAAGCACUUUGGAAAGAGAGUUAAAAAGUACGUGAAAUUGUUGAAAGGGAAGCGCUUGCAACCAGACUCGCCCGCAGUUGCUCAGCCGGCCUCUUGGCCGGCGUACUCUUCUGCGGUCGGGCCAGCAUCAGUUUGGGCGGCCGGAUAAAGGUGUCGGGAAUGUAGCACCCUUCGGGGUGUGUUAUAGCCCGGCGCGGAAUGCGGCCAGCCCGGACUGAGGAUCUCGCUUCGGCAAGGAUGCUGGCGUAAUGGUUGUAAGCGGCCCGUCUUGAAACACGGACCAAGGAGUCUAACAUCUAUGCGAGUGUUUGGGUGUCAAACCCAUGCGCGUAAUGAAAGUGAACGGAGGUGGGAACCCCUCACGGGGUGCACCAUCGACCGAUCCUGAUGUCUUCGGAUGGAUUUGAGUAAGAGCAUAGCUGUUGGGACCCGAAAGAUGGUGAACUAUGCCUGAAUAGGGUGAAGCCAGAGGAAACUCUGGUGGAGGCUCGCAGCGGUUCUGACGUGCAAAUCGAUCGUCAAAUUUGGGUAUAGGGGCGAAAGACUAAUCGAACCAUUUGCAGAAGAAGAGUAGUCUGGGCGAAAUCCUACAACGUCAAACUACUCUUUUUCAGCUGCUAGGUGGUUAAGAGGCCGUGUCAAAGCACGAGCCUAGUCCCAACCUUCCGGGGCGACAUCUUCAAAUUGCGGGGACACCCUUAGAGCCUUCAACACCGCCUGCCUAGCGCGAGCUAGGGUCUGGCACCAGGGUAAUGACCUCGGGUAUGGUAACAGCUUGAAGGAUUGGGCAAUCCGCAGCCAAUCCUGUCUGCGUCCCACGUGGCGCGCAGAGAGGCAGGUUCAGAGACUAAAUGGAGAUGGGUAUGCGCGGAGGCGCAUGCUUAAGAUAUAGUCCGUUCCCCACGCGAAAGGUGGGCAGUGUAGACAAAGCCGGCAGGAGGUUGGUUCAUAGCCUGCCGGCCCGAAUCUCACUGGCGAGGGAUCAGUAGGAA
rnacentral:rRNA from 1 species